UUGGAGGCAAGUCUGGUGCCAGCAGCCGCGGUAAUUCCAGCUCCAAUAGCGUAUAUUAAAGUUGUUGCAGUUAAAAAGCUCGUAGUUGAAUUUCGAGACCGGUUUACUGGUCGUGCUUUUGUACGUACUGGUAUUAUUGGUUUCUCCUUUCUGACGAAUCAUAAUGCCAUUAAUUUGGUGUUUUGGGGAAUCAGGACUGUUACUUUGAAAAAAUUAGAGUGUUUAAAGCAGGCUUACGCUUGAAUACAUUAGCAUGGAAUAACGAAAUAGGACGUUGAUUUUA
rnacentral:rRNA from 1 species